rnacentral:rRNA from 1 species
UACGUAGGGUGCAAGCGUUAAUCGGAAUUACUGGGCGUAAAGCGUGCGCAGGCGGUUAUGUAAGACAGAUGUGAAAUGCCCGGGCUUAACCUGGGAACUGCAUUUGUGACUGCAUGGCUAGAGUUUGGCAGAGGGGGGUAGAAUUCCACGUGUAGCAGUGAAAUGCGUAGAUAUGUGGAGGAACACCGAUGGCGAAGGCAGCCCCCUGGGUCAAGACUGACGCUCAUGCACGAAAGCUAGGGGAGCAAACAGGAGUUAGAAACCCGUGUACGUCA